GCCCCUAGCAAAGAUAGAAGUAUUAGGGGUAAUGCCUGCCCAGUGACAUUGUUAAACGGCCGCGGUACCCUAACCGUGCAAAGGUAGCGUAAUCACUUGUCUUUUAAAUAAAGACUAGAAUGAACGGCUAAACGAGGCCCUAUCUGUCUCUUACAAAUAAUCAGUGAAAUUGAUCUUCCUGUGCAAAAGCAGGAAUAAUACUAUAAGACGAGAAGACCCUGUGGAACUUCAAAUAUAAAAUCAACUAUCAACAACACCUACCAACUAGGCCUAUAUUAAAUAGAAUUUGAUUUUUAUUUUCGGUUGGGGCGACCUCGGAACAAAACAAAACCUCCGAAAAAUAAAGAUAAUCCUUUAAACCUAGAAUGACAAUUCAAAGUGCUUCCAGCAAAACGAUCCAAUAUAUUUGAUCAACGAACCAAGCUACCCCAGGGAUAACAGCGCAAUCCCAUUCUAGAGUCCCUAUCGACAAUGGGGUUUACGACCUCGAUGUUGGAUCAGGACAUCCUAAUGGUGUAGCCGCUAUUAAGGGUUCGUUUGUUCAACGAUUAACAGUCCUACGUGA
rnacentral:rRNA from 1 species